AGGGAAUAUUGGACAAUGGGCGCAAGCCUGAUCCAGCCAUCCCGCGUGAAGGAUUAAGGCCCUCUGGGUUGUAAACUUCUUUUCUCUGGGAAUAAAAAGUGGGGUUCUCCCUACCUUGAAGGUACCAGAGGAAUAAGCACCGGCUAACUCCGUGCCAGCAGCCGCGGUAAUACGGAGGGUGCAAGCGUUAUCCGGAUUCACUGGGUUUAAAGGGUGCGUAGGUGGCUUUGUAAGUCAGUGGUGAAAGCCCGGAGCUCAACUCCGGAACUGCCAUUGAUACUGCUUAGCUUGAAUCAACUUGAGGUGGAUGGAAUAUUACAUGUAGCGGUGAAAUGCUUAGAUAUGUAAUAGAACACCGAUUGCGAAGGCAGUUCACUAAGGUUGUAUUGACACUGAGGCACGAAAGCGUGGGGAUCAAAC
rnacentral:rRNA from 1 species